rnacentral:rRNA from 1 species
UAAGGAAUAUUGGUCAAUGGACGCAAGUCUGAACCAGCCAUGCCGCGUGAAGGAUGAAGGUCCUCUGGAUUGUAAACUUCUUUUAUCUGGGACGAAACACUCGUUUUCUAACGAGCUUGACGGUACCAGAGGAAUAAGCACCGGCUAACUCCGUGCCAGCAGCCGCGGUAAUACGGAGGGUGCAAGCGUUAUCCGGAUUCACUGGGUUUAAAGGGAGCGUAGGUGGGUCUGUAAGUCAGUGGUGAAAUCUCCGUGCUUAACAUGGAAACUGCCAUUGAUACUAUAGGUCUUGAAUCUUCUGGAGGUCAGCGGAAUAUGUCAUGUAGCGGUGAAAUGCUUAGAUAUGACAUAGAACACCAAUUGCGAAGGCAGCUGACUACGGGGGCAUUGACACUGAGGCUCGAAAGCGUGGGGAUCAAACAG